rnacentral:misc_RNA from 1 species
AAAGUGGCGUUGACCAAAGC